rnacentral:rRNA from 1 species
GUGGGGAAUUUUCCGCAAUGGGCGAAAGCCUGACGGAGUGACGCCGCGUGUGGGAUGAAGGCCUUCGGGUCGUAAACCACUGUCAGUGGGAAAGAUGGGUGCCGGCGCGAUAACCGCCGGCAUCUGACGGUACCUGCAGAGGAAGCCCCGGCCAACUCUGUGCCAGCAGCCGCGGUAAGACAGAGGGGGCAAGCGUUGCUCGGAAUUACUGGGCGUAAAGGGCGCGUAGGCGGGAUGGCAAGUCGGUCGUGAAAUCCUUCGGCUCAACCGGAGAACGUCGAUCGAUACUGCCGUCCUUGAGGAUUGCAGAGGAGACUGGAAUUCCCGGUGUAGCGGUGAAAUGUGUAGAGAUCGGGAGGAACACCGGUGGCGAAGGCGGGUCUCUGGGCAAUUCCUGACGCUGAGGCGCGAAAGCGUGGGGAGCAAACGGGAUUAGAAACCCGUGUAGUCC